UAGACCUGCUAUGUAUUCAGUGCAGCAUGGCAACAGUGUCAGGAACAGACUGCCUACACAUCCCAAUACUUUAUUAGUAAAAAUCCAAUAUUCAGAAAAAAGAAGAAAAUUGUCUCUUGGGACUCUUGUACCUAAUAACAAUGGAAACAACUCUGCAGUUCUGCACUUGAGGUUCACAGCACCAUCUAAAUCUCCUCCCACAGAAUUUUAGCUUUCUACUAAUUAUGCAUGUAAGUGUUCCUCUACUUCCAUAUGCAGAAUGAUAAUCAGUGCAUGGGAAGUCUGCCUCCAGCCAGCCUAGAUCCAUUUCUCACCGUACUCACACAUCACGGAGAAGCUUAAUUGUACAGCCUCAGCAACAGUGACAGCAGCCCUGACCCACUAGGACGCUCCAUGAGUACAACCAGCUCAAAUAUUCAUAAAGCUACUAAUUUAUUGCAA